rnacentral:rRNA from 1 species
AGUGAACGCUGGCGGUAGGCCUAACACAUGCAAGUCGAACGGCAGCACAGUAAGUGCUUGCUCUUACGGGUGGCGAGUGGCGGACGGGUGAGGAAUACAUCGGAAUCUACUUUUUCGUGGGGGAUAACGUAGGGAAACUUACGCUAAUACCGCAUACGACCUACGGGUGAAAGCAGGGGAUCUUCGGACCUUGCGCGAUUGAAUGAGCCGAUGUCGGAUUAGCUAGUUGGCGGGGUAAAGGCCCACCAAGGCGACGGUCCGUAGCUGGUCGGAGAGGAUGGGCAGCCACCCUGGGACUGAGACACGCUCCAGACUCCUACGGGAGGCAGCAGUGGGGCAUAUUGGACCAGGGGCGCAAGCCUGUGCCAGCCAUACCGAGUGGGUGAAGAAGGACUUCGGGUUGUAAAGCCCUUUUGUUGGGAUAGAAAAGCAGUAGGUUAAUACCCCGCUGUUCUGACGGUAACCAAAGAAUAAGCACCGGCUAAAUUCCUGC